GUGUUCACGUCAGCAGCAUGCAUACUAAAUGUGGAAUGAUAUAGAGAUUAGCAUGACUACUGCCCAACGAUGACAUUAAAAUUCACAAAGCAUUCCAUAUUUAU